UGUUUGCAUCGCAAUCUAAAUCUGACGUCAUUUUCCCAACUAUUCGACACGUGAUUGGCUAGAACGUUUCGUCGACGUCAGAUUUUAGCUUGUCACCAACAGCUGAUCGGGCACCUUGUUAUGAUAGAAGUCAGUGUCUUCAGUUCGACAACAACACGUUGAUAUAGAUGUGGGUUGCUUAUAUUUUGAGAUUGAUUUACAACUGGCACCCAUAAUUUGACAGUUAAUGCAUAAAGAGUGUAGUUUCUAUAACAUCAAAUAUGAGGUCUAUACACAAUUAAAUUACAUGCAUGAAGAUAACUUGGAGGCAAUGGUGUCAUACAAGAUAGUUUUAACUAUGAUAGCCUAACUGAAAUUUGAAAAAAGUAAUCAAAGAAAAAGAGUGACCACUUCUGUCUUAUGAAGAUCAACAUAUAUACAAGGAGAUUGCCAGACAAUGUGUAACCAUGUAUGAGGAUAGCUUUAGACAUAUACAUGAAAAGAAAGUGAAAUCAAUGUUUUUAAGAUAAAAUCUUGAUGACAUAUAACAAAAAUAUAAGUGUUGAAUAUGGAAACCCCAUGCCAUGUCACAUGUAACUUUGGAAUGCAGCAGUUUUCAGUAUGACACUAAAAGGAAGGAUUUCAUUACUGUUAAAACUGACUCUUGAACAUUGAAGACAGAGAAAUAAAGGUUUUACAUUAGAGGAAAUGACUGUGCACUUCUUUCUUGAAGGAUCAACACACAAAAGGAAAUGUUCAUAUCAUUAUGGAUCAU